GAGGGAGGCGGCGGAGGGCGUCGUGAGCGCUCUGCGUGCUCGCAGGCCAGGUAGGGGUGCGGGACUGCCCCGUGUCAGGGGCCAGCCGGAAAACCACCUUAGAGUUCAAGAGCAGCGCGCCCGCUUUUGAGCGUACCUUGCCAGUGUUGCCUAAACAUUAGCACGGAGGGGAAAAAAAAAAUUACCAUGUAAGAUAGAGAUCAGACCUCUACUCUUGCCUGAUGCAUCUAAAACAAAAAGGGGGAACUGUAGAGAGCUGCGUAAUGCUGCGCCUGAAAGAUGGAGCUGGUUUCCGCCUUCCACCUUCCCGAUGCAAUUCACUUCCUUGAAAGACUUGAGUUGAUGGAGGCCAGGGUUCAAGUGUGAUAUCAGGCUCCUGAAACACUAAGGUUGUCUAGAUGAAGGCUUUGCACUGUUGGAAUAAGCUCACUGUUCCAUAUCAGCAAGUUAAUGGAAGACAUUUUGAACACUGCAAUAAUGGAAAUGUCAUCUUUUAUUUCACAAACAUGGCACAACUAUACGGUGAAAUCAUAGAAGUCUUUGAGUGUUGCUGCAUUAAAUUGUUCGAUAAUUAAUCUUGACUGUCCCUUGAUUAGGUUGAAAACCACCUAGGCGACUGUUAAAGCACAGCUUUGGGCUGUCUGUGGUGGCACUGUCAGAGAGGAUUAGCUGAGGGGACAGAUGUUCCCUGACCGUGAGCAGAUCCAGGCUGCUGGCUAGAACCCCAUACGGGAUCAAAGAAAAAUGAAAAAAAAAAAAAAAAAAAAAAAAAAAAGCUCACUACCAUGAGUGCCCUUUGCUGCUCCACCCCACCCUGCCCACCGUGAUGGACUGACUCCCCUGAAAACAUGAACCAAAAUAACUCUGUCCUCCCUCAAGUUGAUUUUCUCAGAUGCUUAGUAACAGAAUUGAAAACUAACAUGAAUUACUCUGCAUGAAACUAUUUACAGAAAGAAAUGGUGCAAUGUGUUGAUUAGAACUUAAAGUUACUGAAUAAUUUACGUAUUUUUAACCCCAUCUGUAUCUGUUUGGCUAUUUGGAGGGAGAUAUAGAUGGAUAUAUAGAUAUUAAAUUCUCUAAAGAAAGCUUUCCAAGCAUGAUUGUGUGCAGAGGUAGAAAUGUGAAUGAAACUUCCCCAGUAUUUUCUGAUCUCUACUUAAUAAAUAUAUUUCACUUGUAGAAUAAAAGCAGUGAGUAGGAAAGGAGGGAAUGGCUUCUGAAUCUAGCAGAAGUUUAACAUUUGUAAGCUCUGUCGGUUCUUCCUUGAUACUUAACACCAGGUGAUCUCUAAUUGCUCACAGAAGGAUUCACAACACUUAUGAGGCCAUUCUCAAGGUGAGGAAACAGACACAU